CUUGUAUCUGAAAAAUGAAUUGAAACCAUGUUAACUGCCUGGUUAGUGAGCAGUUUUAAUAAUUAAGCUACAAUAAACAGGAAACUAGGUCAAAGAGCUCAGCUACAUUACAGUAGGCUAAGACUUAGAAUGUCCAAAAUUAAUGUUAUAUGGUAAGCAACACCUAAACAGUCACUAUGUGUAGUCGGAUUUGAUUCUUAUGGAGAUCUGCGAAGACUGAGGGAGUAACAACGGUUAGAGAAGUCAGAAGAGAAAGGGGGAAACUCUGAAUCCUGAGAAGUUAUUCAAUACACCAAAGUAAACUGCUGACCAGCCUUGCUGAUUGCCUUGUGAAGACAGGGCUACUCUCUAGAGAAUGAAACACACCACAAAGAAGCAUUAGACCACUGCAAUAUCACUGGAGGACAUUUGGGAAUUUGGGCCACUUGAGUGGUGGGAGAGGAG